rnacentral:rRNA from 1 species
UACGUAGGGUGCAAGCGUUGUCCGGAAUUAUUUGGGCGUAAAAGGAGCUCGUAGGCGGUUUGUUGCGUCGGCUGUGAAAUCCCGAGGCUCAACCUCGGGUCUGCAGUCGAUACGAGCAAACUAGAGUGUUUGCAGGGGAGACUGGAAUUCCUGGUGUAGCGGUGAAAUGCGCAGAUAUCAGGAGGAACACCGGUGGCGAAGGGCGGGUCUCUGGGCAACAACUGACG